rnacentral:lncRNA from 1 species
CUCCGGGAGCCUCUCCGCCGGCUGCGCCGCUCGCCUCCAAGGGAGCGUUCCGUGCUGGCCCCUCGCUCGGCUCCGCUCCGCCUCCGCCACGCCGCUCUCCGAGCUUCGGCAGCAGCCAGCGCCCCCUCCACGCUGCGACCCCGGCUCUCGGCUCUCCGUCCCUGUAGCUCCGUGCCCAGCACCUCGCGCCCCGCAACCUCGCCGUCUCCCAAGUCCCGGGCCCCGCUUCUGUCGCUGUCCGUCGCUGUCCGUGUGUCGCUCGCUCGGUCUGUCUCUCCGCCUCCCCAGCCCUUCCUUCCUCCCUGUCUCCCUCGCUGGCUUGCACGUUCGCUCGCUCUCGGACGCGGCGAAACAGCUUCGCAGGCAAAUCCCAGAAACCUUUGCAAAAAGCUUGCAAUGAAAUUUAAGAAGUUCUUCGAUUUCGGCGCCAUUUUCGAGUGGAGCCAGAGGUGACAUGCGAUUUUUUAAAAAGGGACUUGGUGGCUGGCGUCUUUCCCGACUGUAACGUGGGUUACGGCAGGCAGAAAAACAUCUGGUGAUAAUUCUGAAAAAAGUGCUGUGGCGUUUGGGGGGGUUGUAAAGCACGUUUUGCGGGCGGGAUGGGGGCAAAUCUGACAUUUAAAGUGUUUAACAAAUGAGUGCGGCCGGGAAAUUCUCAGGAAACGGACUGGGAAAAAAAAAACAACAACUAACAUGGAGGGGCGGGGAGAGAAAACUGAGUAAGGGGCAGUGACCGACUGUCAGCCUCGCUAGGGUCGGGAGCGACUGGUUUUGACAGAAUGUAAAUGAACUUUUCCUCUUAUUUGCAAGAAGUUAGUUAUGUCUUGGAAAGAAAUGUGUGAUUAAUUUCACAUUGUCUCUCCCGAAUUAAAACUUUAAAGGUUGUUUAGUUUUCCCCGUAGGGACUUGACAUUGUGGAAGUUUGGCUAGAAUGCGCCGAGAGAAGGUACAUCGUGUGUUUGGGGUGUGGGGGACGAAGGCAUAUGCAAAAUUAAAAGACAAAACGUUGUAGAGUAUGAACAGAGGAAGAGGCGUAUUCUUUGGCUCUUAAAUCAUUUAGCCAAACACAUUGCAGUUCAGAAGGGGGUGGGGCUAUGGCAACUCGAAAGUAUCGAUUCUUUGUCUAUUGUAUCAGUGAAUGACCCUCUCCUGAAGUGACAAGACGCCCCUUUGUAAUCUCUUUUCGUAAGUAAAUUUCAGUCUAAGGGGAAAUAUGUAAACUAGGGGAUCGAGGUGGCUUUUUAGGGGUGUAACUCGUUGUACUAUCACUGGGAGAGAUGAAAGGGGUUAGGGUGAAAGGUAUAAAUGAAUUUGAUUCCAAGAGCAAUCUGGAAGGGACCUUCGCCUUUGACACCGAUGCUGUUUCGAAUGAACUUUUGUUUUUCUAAGUAGUCAACUAAGGAAAUGUUAAAUUAGGCAUGACUUUAACUUCUGACAUGAUGGCUCGUAUAUUUGUGUGGAACAAAAUGUUGGGAGAAAGUUGUGGAGUUUUACAUGAUAAUUGUACAUUUGCUAAACAUGUUUUUUUUUUCUUUUUAAGGGCAGUCAACGACAUUUUUCUCCAUUAAUCCCAAAGUCAGUGUAAAAGUUGUUUGUAAAUAUCAUUGCCAAAACAAGAUGGAAUGUAGAGAUACUUGAUUGUCGCAAUUUAGGGAAUGGGGUUAUUGUUACUAAUGACUUUUUUUUUUUACCAUGACAUAGUGUAUUUGUUACCACUGGAUCUCAGUCUGGAUGUUAUAAAUUCGAUACUUAAUCUUAUUAAAUACUCUGCACAUUUUAUUAACUAAUAAAUAGGACACUUAACAUUCAUUGUACUGGUUUUGAAAAACCGACUUAAUUUGUAAGUGUAACAAGAUACUUACAGUUGGAUAAUUUAAAUGUCUAUUACUUGUGCUGAAAUGUAUUUAACUUUCAAAACCAUUACAGUUAGUGCUGAUUUUGUUGUUUUAACUUUUAGGUUUGUGAUUGAGGAUUUCAGAGUGGGUUUUUUUUUUAAUGCUUAAUUGAAUAUUGUAUUCAAACAAAAAGAGGGCAUGCAUGUGACUUGUUGCUAAUAUGUGUCCAUUUUAAAAAGGAAAAAGUGGUAUCUAAUGAGUUAAUCAUUAAGGAGUAUGCGCAGUGCCGGCCAUUUCAGGACAUGAAAGUUUCUGUGGAGCUGCUUGAAACAGGAAGGAGCGACUUGACAUCAAGUAUUUAAACUUUUUGAUUUAUGUUUUGAUAGAUGACAUUGAUAGGUAUAAAUUAUAAAUAAGUUUGAGUAACCAGUUUAAUAUGUAAACUGGUAUUUCAUCUACAGAAAGUUCUCUGUCAUUGUUUGGAGCUCUUUAAAAUAACUCAGCUGGGGUGUUUAAGAAUAAAAACACUAGCAGUGAGUUAGGACAUCUAAUGCUUUUAAAGAUAGAUGUAUAUGUCGCAACGAUAGUGUAAGAAUCAGCUGAAGCUACCGGUGAGGUUUUGGUUAUUUUCUUUCAGUCAUCUGAGUCCAUUUCCAAUAAAGGUUGUUUUUUUGUUUCGUUUUUUGUUUUUUUUUAAUGGGGACAAUGAAUGAGACUUGUAAUAUGCAGCAGGAAGAAGUUUCACCAAGACUUUGAAACUGGCAAGAAUGAUCCAGAUGUCCAAUUGCCUCUACUUAACCUUAUUCGUCUACCUUCAGAAGUAAUUAGAUUCUCUUCCACACUAAUUCGUAUCCCCCAUCGCUCUGCUUUUCACCCACUACGUUGUUCCAAGAUUCAUCCUCAGGGGAAAAAAUUGAGAGCCACACUUUCGGCUCCACCUGCAGCUCCUGGAAAUCAAAUGGUGAAGUUAUAAGAAGUACCUUAACUUGGAGUGAAGUGGCCUAGUCAUAAGUUUUGCCCUAUUCCUUGCCAGGGGGUGGGGCGGGGCUUCCUUCAGUCAUCCAGUCUUUAUUCACCCGCAGGUACCCCCAGAUCGAUC